rnacentral:rRNA from 1 species
UACGUAGGGCGCAAGCGUUGUCCGGAAUUAUUGGGCGUAAAGAGCUCGUAGGCGGUUUGUCGCGUCUGCUGUGAAAUCCCGAGGCUCAACCUCGGGCUUGCAGUGGGUACGGGCAGACUGGAGUGCGGUAGGGGAGACUGGAAUUCCUGGUGUAGCGGUGGAAUGCGCAGAUAUCAGGAGGAACACCGAUGGCGAAGGCAGUUCUCUGGGCCGCAACUGACGCUGAGGAGCUAAAUCAUGGGGAGCGAACAGG